AGAAUUUCUGCCAAGAGAUCUCAAGGUUAUCAUUUGUGGUUGGCGAUACAAAACAGGGCUGGGACUUGUGUAUUAUAAUUGUUGUUAUUAUCAGAAUGUAGAAACCUGGCGAACUGAAACCAGGUCUACAAUUACCGAUCAGGCAGCAGUCCUUGCGGUAUGACAGUAUGCCCUACUGUUGUGGGCCCGAUGCCAAAUCGAAACCCACUUAGCACGUUCAUGCCUGCCUCGUAACGUGCGUGGAAGCUUCCCCAGGUGGAAACCCAAGUGGGCGAGCAGCGGGAUCCUCGCGCCCCCACUCUUUUUUUUUUUGUACGUGUGUUUAAGUGGAUACACAUGAGACGCUUCCAAUUAGGCCCAGACUGUUUCCCAGAAGCGUCCCCCCACCCCACCCCGCCUUUCUCCUGCUCCUGGCCCGGGCACGGCGACGAGGGAACCGAGUGCCGUCCCUACCUCGCGUGAAAACGAUUCGUCUCGUAAAAUCAGUGUGACACGGAUGCAGUCGAAAGUGUUGCCCAGCAGCUGCUCGCCAGCUCGAUUCGACAGUCAGCGAGGCGCCUCGGUAAGUGUCUUAAGAUGAUGCAGAAAAAGGAUCGCAGGGAGUAGCUGGAGCCUAUUCCAGCUGACUUCGGG